rnacentral:rRNA from 1 species
CCUACGGGUGGCAGCAGUGGGGAAUUUUGCACAAUGGGGGAAACCCUGAUGCAGCUACGCCGCGUGAGGGAAGACGUACUUCGGUAUGUAAAGCUCUAUUAGCAGGGACGAAAAUGCCGUUACUUGAGUAAGAAGCCCCGGCUAACUACGUGCCAGCAGCCGCGGUCAUACGUAGGGGGCAAGCGUUAUCCGGAUUUACUGGGUGGAACGGGAGCGGAGACGGCAGUGCAAGUCGGGUGUGAAAGGCGGGGGCUUAACCCCCGGAAUGCUCAGAAGACUGUACGUAUGGAGUGCAGGAGAGGUAAGUGGAAUUCCAAGUGUAGCAGUGAAAUGCGUAGAUAUUAGGAGGAACACCAGUGGCGAAGGCGGCUUACUGGAAUGUAACUGACGUUGAGGCUCGAAAGCGUGGGGAGCAAACAGGAUUAGAUACCCGGGUAGUC